AUUGAACGCUGGCGGAAUGCUUUACACAUGCAAGUCGAACGGCAGCACGGGGGCAACCCUGGUGGCGAGUGGCGAACGGGUGAGUAAUACAUCGGAACGUGCCCGGUCGUGGGGGAUAACGUAGCGAAAGUUACGCUAAUACCGCAUACGAUCUGAGGAUGAAAGCGGGGGACCUUCGGGCCUCGCGCGAUCGGAGCGGCCGAUGUCAGAUUAGGUAGUUGGUGGGGUAAAGGCCUACCAAGCCGACGAUCUGUAGCUGGUCUGAGAGGACGACCAGCCACACUGGAACUGAGACACGGCCCAGACUCCUACGGGAGGCAGCAGUGGGGAAUGUUGGACAAUGGGCGCAAGCCUGAUCCAGCCAGUCCGCGUGCAGGACGAAGGCCUUCGGGUUGUAAACUGCUUUUGUAUGGAACGAAAAGGCUCUGGCUAAUACCUGGGGCUCAUGACGGUACCGUAAGAAUAAGCACCGGCUAACUACGUG
rnacentral:rRNA from 1 species